AGUAGAUUGGGAUACUCUUCAAAUUUUUUAUGAAAUGCCGAGAAAAGCGCUGCUCGUAAUGGCGGGCCUCGACCGAAAGGUGCUUAACAGCCGGAGGAUUACAAAGCUUGUGGCGCCCUCAAAUCCUGUAUUUAUUCGGAGUUUCAUCACAUCCUUUGGUGUGGCUUCUUU
rnacentral:sRNA from 1 species